rnacentral:lncRNA from 1 species
CCUCAUUCUGAACCAAUCAUGAUGGCCAAGAGGAAUGGCGUAUGCUGAUUGGCCAGGCUUUGAUCAUGCUCACCCCGGAGAUGAAAGGCAGAGUCAAAUUCAUCUGCCAGAACCACGUGAACUAGCAGUAGAAGGUGGUAGUGAAGCCCUAAGGAAAAACGGGCAGUGUUACCAGAAGAAUGGGACUGGAUGCUGAACAAGAACAGCUGAGGUUUGGAAGAUGGUGGCUUAGGAGAACUCUGAACUCACCUCCUUUCAUGGACACAACAAAUUUACAACUACCCUUGGAACAAUUACCUCCAAGAGAGAACAGGAAACUGGAUAAAAGGAACCCUCACAACAAGGGACAGCUCUAACUGUGGUGGAAGAGGCAGAAAUACCUUUCUGGAGAAGAAAAAGCCACAUUCUAGCCAUGAUGCUUCAUGGCUGGAAGCAAUCUUAAGAGUUCGGAAUUGGGCACCACACCCUGGUGUUAAGCUGUUAACCUCCAGCAUCAAGGCCACAGCUGCCGGGAAGAAUUCCUCUUUCAAGCUGUGGCUUCAUCAGAGUUCUUCAUCUGGAC